AUGGACACUUUCUCCCAUGUUCCACCGGGUUUCCGGUUUCAUCCUACUGACGAGGAGCUCGUUGAUUAUUACUUGAGGAAGAAGGUGGCAUCAAAGAAGAUUGACCUGGACGUCAUAAAGGACGUUGAUUUGUACAAAAUCGAGCCAUGGGAUCUCCAAGACAAGUGCAAGAUCGGUAUGGAGGAGCAGAACGACUGGUACUUCUUCAGCCACAAGGACAAGAAGUACCCAACGGGCACCCGCACCAACAGGGCGACGAGCGCGGGGUUCUGGAAGGCGACGGGGAGGGACAAACCCAUCUACACCAACAACUGCCUCGUCGGGAUGAGGAAGACGCUCGUCUUCUACAAGGGCCGUGCGCCCAACGGCCAGAAGUCGGACUGGAUCAUGCAUGAGUACCGCCUCGAGACCAACGAGAACGGAGCCACGCCCGUAUGUAAUUAUUCAUCGCUCCAUCCUUACCUGUAUGCAUUUCACUUGCUAACCAUGGAUAUUGCUGGUUUGAUCCUUCAGGAGGAAGGAUGGGUGGUCUGCCGGGUGUUCAAGAAGCGAGUCGCAACGGUGCGGAGGAUGGCAGAUAUGAACUCGCCUUGCUGGUUCGACGACCAUGGCGCUGGCGGUGGGUUCAUGCCGGAUCUCGACUCGCCGAGGCAGCUCGGGUACCAGCACCAGAACUUGGCGGCGUACCACAGCCAGCCGCAGCAGCAGCAGCAUCUGUACCACUGCAAGCCAGAGCUGGAGUACCAUCACCUCCUGCCGCAGGAGGCCUUCAUGCAACAGCUUCCUCUUCUGGAGAGCCCCAAGCCUACAGCCUACAUUGGCCACGGCAGCAGCAGCAGCGUACCAUCGUCAAUCAGCAACCACCCCCUUGCGCACGACGGAGCCUCCAGGUUCGCAGCGCAUCAACCGCCGAUGGACCAUGCACUUUACACCGGUGACUCGUCGGCCACGGACUGGAGGCUCCUCGACAAGUUCGUCGCGUCUCAGCUGUUCAGUCAUGACGGUACCAAUCCCAAGGAGCAGGCCACUCACCCCAAUCCGGCUAUGCAGGUGUUCCAGGUUGAGAACAAGCAUGAUCAGGCCUUGGACUACGCUUCAACGUCUGCCGGCGGCUCCGGCGGAGGCUCGGCUCAUCUGUGGAAAUAG
rnacentral:rRNA from 1 species